UACAGAGGUGGCUAGCGUUGUUCGGUAUCACUGGGCUUAAAGCGUGUGUAGGCGGGAACGUAAGCAUUUUGUGAAAUCCCCCGGCUUAACCGGGGAAUCGCUUGAUGUACUGCGUUUCUUGAGGCAGGUAGGGGUGCGAGGAACUCUUGGUGGAGCGGUGGAAUGCGUAGAUAUCAAGAGGAACGCCGGUGGUGAAGACGUCGCACUGGGCCUGUCCUGACGCUGAGACACGAAAGCGUGGGGAGCGAACGGG
rnacentral:rRNA from 1 species